CUCUCUGUCAUCCAUCUCGGAAAUUCUAAAGAACAUCUGGUAGGCGAUGUAGGCGGGGCUAGGGCGGGGCUACGUCGCGGCCAUUUUGAAUACGUCACUAGUUUACUUCUACUUAUUCCCCUUGAAUCAACAUGGCAGAAACUGCACAUGCGUUACAUCGAAAUGGCAAUCGUGGGUAUUUUGAGGGCAAUGAUUGUAUCAAGGAGGCAGAAGAAACAAUCCGUCAGUUAGAAAUGAGAACGCACUAUAAAUAUUCAAUUGUAAAAUCUGACAACUUUAAAUUAUUAUAGUUACGUGAUUGUUUGUUUGUGGUAGGUGCAUAUUGUAGAGGAGGUCACUGGGUACUUGUGAUUUUAGAUGUGGUGCAGAAGAAAGUGUACUUUUACAACCCGAUACUGCAUAAUGAGGCAGUGGAAAGUAGAUCAAUCAAGGAGGCUAUGUGGUAACAAAAUGACAUACCAAAAAAAAAAUAUGCAGUUACAUCAGAGUAGAAGAGGAAAAUAAUGAAAAACUUCUUACUACUCUUCAUAUAACGUACAGAUCUACACAAAUUAAGACAAAGUUCAAAUUUUAGAUUUCUUGAGAUUUUUCAAUAUUGAUUGGCAAUAACUUUAUUUCUUUGCAGACCAUGCUUGUAUUUUUAGCUCAGCUGUCACAUAGUGACAAGGUGAGCUUUUGUGAUCACCGUCGUCCGUCUGUCCGUCCAUCAACAAUUUCUUGUCUGCACGAUAGUGGUUUCAUUUAUGAUUUUAUUUAAGG
rnacentral:lncRNA from 1 species